rnacentral:rRNA from 1 species
UACGGAGGGUGCAAACGUUGCUCGGAAUCAUUGGGCGUAAAGCGCACGUAGGUGGCUUGUCACGUCGGGUGUGAAAGCUUGGGGCUUAACUCCAGGUCUGCAUUCGAUACGGGCUGGCUAGAGGUAGGUAGGGGAGAACGGAAUUCCUGGUGUAGCGGUGAAAUGCGCAGAUAUCAGGAGGAACACCGGUGGCGAAGGCGGGUCUCUGGGCCGAUACCGACGCUGAGGAGCGAAAGCGUGGGGAGCAAACAGG